rfam:Oryza barthii chromosome 10, whole genome shotgun sequence.
UUUAAGUGCAGUUGUGGGUUUCGGUACACAAUAUUUAACCGUCUGUCUUAUUUAAAAAAAUUUUAUGAUUAGUAUUUUUAUUGUUAUUAGAUGAUAAAACAUGAAUAUUACCUUAUGUCGGAUUUUUUUAUUAACAUUUUUUAUAAAAUUUUCAAAUAAAACAGACUGUCAAAAAUUGAAUACAGAAACCGAAAACUGCACUUAAA